rnacentral:rRNA from 1 species
UGAGGAAUAUUGGUCAAUGGACGAGAGUCUGAACCAGCCAAGUAGCGUGAAGGAUGCCUGCCCUAUGGGUUGUAAACUUCUUUUAUACGGGAAUAAAGUGAGCCACGUGUGGCUUUUUGUAUGUACCGUAUGAAUAAGGAUCGGCUAACUCCGUG